rnacentral:rRNA from 1 species
AGUCAAGUAAUUAAGUGCAUGUGGUGGAUGCCUUGGCAGUCAGAGGCGAUGAAAGACGUGAUAGCCUGCGAAAAGCUCCGGGGAGGCGGCAAAUAUCCUUUGAUCCGGAGAUGUCUGAAUGGGGGAACCCACCUACUUUAAGGUAGGUAUUGCAACAUGAAUACAUAGUGUUGCAAGGCGAACGAGGGGAAGUGAAACAUCUCAGUACCCUUAGGAAAAGAAAUCAAUUGAGAUUCCCUCAGUAGCGGCGAGCGAACGGGGAUCAGCCCAUUAAGUUAUGUGUGUUUUAGUGGAACGCUCUGGGAAGUGCGAACGUAGAGGGUGAUAUUCCCGUACACGAAAGGGCACACAUAAUGAUGACGAGUAGGGCGAGGCACGUGAAACCUUGUCUGAAUAUGGGGGGACCAUCCUCCAAGGCUAAAUACUCCUGACUGACCGAUAGUGAACCAGUACCGUGAGGGAAAGGCGAAAAGAACCCCUGUGAGGGGAGUGAAAUAGAUCCUGAAACCGCAUGCAUACAAGCAGUGGGAGCACCUUCGUGGUGUGACUGCGUACCUUUUGUAUAAUGGGUCAGCGACUUAUAUUCAGUAGCGAGGUUAACCGUAUAGGGGAGCCGUAGAGAAAUCGAGUCUUAAUAGGGCGUUUAGUUGCUGGGUAUAGACCCGAAACCAGGCGAUCUAUCCAUGAGCAGGUUGAAGGUUGGGUAACACUAACUGGAGGACCGAACCCACUGUCGUUGAAAAGCCAGGGGAUGACUUGUGGAUAGGGGUGAAAGGCUAAUCAAGCCUGGUGAUAGCUGGUUCUCCCCGAAAGCUAUUUAGGUAGCGCCUCGGACGAAUACCAUAGGGGGUAGAGCACUGUUUCGGCUAGGGGGUCAUCCCGACUUACCAAACCGAUGCAAACUCCGAAUACCUAUGAGUACUAUCCGGGAGACAGACUGCGGGUGCUAACGUCCGUAGUCAAGAGGAAAACAAUCCAGACCGCCAGCUAAGGCCCCAAAAUCAUAGUUAAGUGGGAAACGAUGUGGGAAGGCAUAGACAGCUAGGAGGUUGGCUUAGAAGCAGCCACCCUUUAAAGAAAGCGUAAUAGCUCACUAGUCGAGUCGGCCUGCGCGGAAGAUGUAACGGGGCUAAAACUAUGUGCCGAAGCUGCGGAUGUAUACAUUGUAUACGUGGUAGGGGAGCGUUCUGUAAGCCGAUGAAGGUGUGUUGAGAAGCAUGCUGGAGGUAUCAGAAGUGCGAAUGCUGACGUGAGUAACGACAAAACGGGUGAAAAACCCGUUCGCCGAAAGACCAAGGGUUCCAGUCCAACGUUAAUCGGGGCUGGGUGAGUCGACCCCUAAGGCGAGGCCGAAAGGCGUAGUCGAUGGGAAAAUGGUUAAUAUUCCAUUACUUCUGUGUAAUGCGAUGAGAGGACGGAGAAGGCUAAAUCAGCCUGGCGUUGGUUGUCCAGGUGAAAGGAUGUAGGCAUGUAUCUUAGGCAAAUCCGGGGUACUCUAUGCUGAGAUCUGAUAGCAAGCUGUACUUGUACAGCGAAGUGGUUGAUGCCAUGCUUCCAGGAAAAGUCUCUAAGCUUCAGUUACACAGGAAUCGUACCCGAAACCGACACAGGUGGUCAGGUCGAGUAGACCAAGGCGCUUGAGAGAACUCUGCUGAAGGAACUAGGCAAAAUGGUACCGUAACUUCGGGAGAAGGUACGCUGUUGUUGGUGAUGGAACUCGCUUCCUGAGCUGACGACAGCCGCAGAAACCAGGCCGCUGCAACUGUUUAUUAAAAACAUAGCACUCUGCAAACACGAAAGUGGACGUAUAGGGUGUGAUGCCUGCCCGGUGCUGGAAGGUUAAUUGAUGGGGUUAGCGUAAGCGAAGCUCUUGAUCGAAGCCCCAGUAAACGGCGGCCGUAACUAUAACGGUCCUAAGGUAGCGAAAUUCCUUGUCGGGUAAGUUCCGACCUGCACGAAUGGCAUAAUGAUGGCGGCGCUGUCUCCAGCAGAGGCUCAGUGAAAUCGAAAUCGCUGUGAAGAUGCAGUGUACCCGCGGCUAGACGGAAAGACCCCGUGAACCUUUACUGCAGCUUGACACUGAACUUUGACCUUACUUGUGUAGGAUAGGUGGGAGGCUUUGAAGCUGGAACGCUAGUUCCAGUGGAGCCGUCCUUGAAAUACCACCCUGGUAAUGUUGAGGUUCUAACUCUGUCCCGUGAUCCGGGACGAGGACCGUGUCUGGUGGGUAGUUUGACUGGGGCGGUCUCCUCCUAAAGAGUAACGGAGGAGUACGAAGGUGCGCUCAGCGUGGUCGGAAAUCACGCGUAGAGUAUAAAGGCAAAAGCGCGCUUAACUGCGAGACCCACAAGUCGAGCAGGUACGAAAGUAGGUCUUAGUGAUCCGGUGGUUCUGUAUGGAAGGGCCAUCGCUCAACGGAUAAAAGGUACUCUGGGGAUAACAGGCUGAUACCGCCCAAGAGUUCAUAUCGACGGCGGUGUUUGGCACCUCGAUGUCGGCUCAUCUCAUCCUGGGGCUGAAGCAGGUCCCAAGGGUAUGGCUGUUCGCCAUUUAAAGAGGUACGCGAGCUGGGUUUAGAACGUCGUGAGACAGUUCGGUCCCUAUCUACCGUGGGCGCUGGAAAUUUGAGAGGAUCUGCUCCUAGUACGAGAGGACCAGAGUGGACGAACCUCUGGUGUACCGGUUGUGACGCCAGUCGCAUCGCCGGGUAGCUAUGUUCGGAAGGGAUAACCGCUGAAAGCAUCUAAGCGGGAAGCCUACCUCAAGAUAAGAUUUCCCUAGGACUUUAUGUCCUCUAAAGAGCCGUUCGAGACUAGGACGUUGAUAGGUUGGAUGUGGAAGCAUAGUGAUAUGUGAAGCUGACCAAUACUAAUUGCUCGUGAGGCUUGACUAU